rnacentral:misc_RNA from 1 species
UACUAAUUAGAAUUGUUUUUGUUGAUACUUUAAUUAACCUCUGAAUACACAAACUAUAUCAGUCCGUAAAGUUAUUGAUCGCCAGAGAUUUAUAAGCCCUUAAACAUAACUCAAAAUUUUCAUAAAUUAUCAAAACUACACAAGUAAAAAACGUAAUAAGGCCUUUUCGGGACAUUAUUUCACAGUAGGUUUUUUUAUUAUUAUACUGUAACGCCAUACCAUAUUAUCUAGCUGAGCCU